UGGGAUGCAUGUGGCCCUUGGGUGGCAUGU
rnacentral:piRNA from 2 species